rnacentral:lncRNA from 1 species
AAAUCCAGCAGCCAGCAUGUGGACUGAAGGUCACAUCUCUCCUGUCUCUGGUCCUACUAAGUUAAAGUGUGUAAGCACCUUGGAGUUGCCAGAUGCCUGGCCCAGGCUGUACUAGGCCAGUUGCUGAGGCAUGUGCUGCCUGAAGGUCUUAAAAAGGAACUCCUACCACAAAGUGUCUGGAGCAAGGUGUGCUGAGGAGAAAGUGAAAAUCUGCCUGCUGGCCAGCCUUUCCCAUCAGCCUUUGGUGGAGAGAAGAGGAGCUCACCUGAGCACAAAGGGGUGGAUUGUCCGUGAAAACUCCUCAACAGCAGCCCAGGUUUCUGCAUCCCCAUGCAUUCCUGCUCUGCACCACAUGAGUCUCUGCUCCAGGCUCUUGUCCUUGGGGUGGGCAGAGGCUUUGCUGAAUCCAUGGACUCCUGGUUGUCCACAGCAUCAGGCUCAAGACAGACCCAGCUGGGUCCUGGCACCAGAGCAACCGUGA